rnacentral:sRNA from 1 species
GAAUUAAAAAAAAAAAUUGCCUCUGAAUUGGACGACAUAACAGUUUCUUUAUGUUAGCGCCAUCAUUCCUGGAAUUCCCAAAUGAUUACAAAUCCAACAGAUGUCUUGACGUAAUGGAAAUAUCUUGACAUGGCAAUAAGGAUUCUUUUGUUGUUUGUUUCAUCUUGGAAGUCGCAAAAAAAAUAAAUAAAAGAGACUGUCAAAUUGAUCAGUGACAAUUUCAUGACGCAUUCUGUGAGUGUGGGGUCACAUCGAGGUAGUAGGAAGCUGUGAUAAGAGAAAAAGGUAGCGACUUCCAAGUUUGACCAUGUUAAAAGAACAUAUCACUGAGCAUUCGUUAUCUCGAUUCUAUACCAAGGUCUGCAUUUUUUUUAUCCUGGAGAUUUCCGAUUACGUUCGACAUUGAGAAGAUAUACUAUUCCUAUUUCUGUCAAUACUUGUGUUGGUUUAACAAAGUUGUGAAACUCAGUUUAAGUCAAUAACAGCUUUGAAUAUAAUUUAUUGCAAAGACAUAUCUCACACUUAAAGAUAAGGAGUCCCCACACACCCACAGAAAGAAACAGAUAGCAAAGAUAUCGUGACCAAGAUUGCAAUGGCAUUCCGAAAUCGUUUUUCCAAGAUUCGAGCGAGUAUAUAUAAAAAGAAGAACGAUGUCUAUAACGUGGAGAAACAGAGCAUAAAGAUGUUACGCACACACAGUAGCAAUAACAUUGACCAAGAAGGAAAUAACGCUCUUCAUCUUGCAGUUAUAGAAGGUGACUAUGAUAGUGUCAAAAAGAUAUGUUCCUACCAUCGAAACAUAGAUUUGCCCAACAAUGAAGGAAACGACGCCUUAAUGUUAGCUGUUAUUCAUAAACACGAAACGAUCGCGAAUUAUCUACUCUCGAUUGGGGCACAAACAUGUACCAGAAAUAAACAUGGACUCACUGCUUCUGACCUGGUCGAUAAGAACACUUCAAAGACGCUUGUAAAUCUAAUUUCGCUGAAUAUGAAAAACGCGAAAUGCAGAAAAGAUUCGUCAACCCAAUCAUAUGAUACAUUAGAGAGGCAAGAUUUAACAAAAGAAAAUCCGAGUGCUAACAACAAUGACAUCGUUGAUAAUACUAGAAAUUCCGUUGGCAGAAAU